UCUGCACGGUGGCUCUUUUAAAAGUUUUUUAUAUAUACUGUUAAAAUGGCCGUCAUGCAAAAU
rnacentral:pre_miRNA from 1 species